rnacentral:rRNA from 1 species
GACGAACGCUGGCGGCGUGCUUAACACAUGCAAGUCGAACGGAAAGGCCCUGCUUGCAGGGUACUCGAGUGGCGAACGGGUGAGUAACACGUGGGUGAUCUGCCCUGCACUUCGGGAUAAGCCUGGGAAACUGGGUCUAAUACCGGAUAGGAGCCAUUUUUAGUGUGAUGGUUGGAAAGUUUUUUCGGUGUAGGAUGAGCUCGCGGCCUAUCAGCUUGUUGGUGGGGUAAUGGCCUACCAAGGCGGCGACGGGUAGCCGGCCUGAGAGGGUGGACGGCCACAUUGAGACUGAGAUACGGCCCAGACUCCGACGGGAGGAAGAAGUGGGGAAGAUUGAACAAGGGGCGCAAGCCUGAUGCAGAGACGCCGCGUGGGGGAUGACGGCCUUCGGGUUGUAAACUCAAUUCGCUAGGGACGAAGCUUUUUGUGACGGUACCUAGAUAAGAAGCACCGGCUAACUACGUG